UACAGAGGGGCAAGCGUUGUUCGGAAUUACUGGGCGUAAAGGGCGCGUAGGCGGCCUGUUAAGUCGAACGUGAAAUCCCCGGGCUCAACCCGGGAACUGCGUCCGAUACUGGCAGGCUUGAAUCCGGGAGAGGGAUGCGGAAUUCCAGGUGUAGCGGUGAAAUGCGCAGAUAUCAGGAGGAACACCGGUGGCGAAGGCGGUUCUCUGGGCAUUACCUGACGCUGAGGAGCGAAAGUGUGGGGAGCGAACAGG
rnacentral:rRNA from 1 species